rnacentral:rRNA from 1 species
AUUGAACGCUGGCGGCAGGCCUAACACAUGCAAGUCGAACGAGUGGCGGACGGGUGAGUAAUUUCUGGGAAACUGCCUGAUGGAGGGGGAUAACUAAUGGAAACGGUAGCUCAUACCGCAUACCAUCAGAUGUGCCCAGAUGGGAGUAGCUAGUGGGUGGGGUAACGGCUCACCAAGGCGACGAUCCCUAGAUGGUCUGAGAGGAUGACCAGCCACACUGGAACUUAGACACGGUCCAGACUCCUACGUGAGGCAGCAUUGGGGAAUAUUGCACAAUGGGCGCAAGCCUGAUGCAGCCAUGCCGCGUGUAUGAAGAAGGCCUUCGGGUUGUAAAGUACUUUCAGCGGGGAGGCGUUACCCGCAGAAGAAGCACCGGCUAACUCCGUGCCAGCAGCCGCGGUAAUUC